AUCUUGAUCCGAUAUGCCGAGCGUAGCGACUCUUCCGUAAGAAAAUUUCAUCUACUCGGUACUUAAGGGAGGUCGUCUUUUGGUUUUCCAAACGGUUUUCAUAUUGAGUGGAGAAAACCGUAGAAAAACAGGAAAAUCUAAUACUAACUUCCCGACUUCUCGCCUACAACCGCGUUGUUUUUUAUUUGUUAUUAAUUUUGGAAUUGUUCCGAGCCAAUUAGCGUCACUCUAGGAGACGACCCGGUCGAUAAUAAUACUCCGAGAACACCGAAAACUGUGUAAAGACUUGGCGGUGAACUGCAAUAUUAUGUUGAUCUGAGGAGUGACGACUGUAACAGCGAAGAUCGUACACAUACAUACUGAUCGUCCGAAAACCAUGGGCGUCAUUUCAGUUGUUCAAUAGGUAUGCAAACAUUUGAAUCGGGCCUAUUUUUCUAACCAUUUUCCGUUCGCUUAUAUUCGUAUUCCUGAUUUACGUUUUAAUACUGAAAUACACGGUUCCGCGACAUUAC